rnacentral:rRNA from 1 species
GGGGAAUAUUGCACAAUGGGCGAAAGCCUGAUGCAGCGACGCCGCGUGAGCGAAGAAGUAUUUCGGUAUGUAAAGCUCUAUCAGCAGGGAAGAUAAUGACGGUACCUGACUAAGAAGCACCGGCUAAAUACGUGCCAGCAGCCGCGGUAAUACGUAUGGUGCAAGCGUUAUCCGGAUUUACUGGGUGUAAAGGGAGCGCAGGCGGUGCGGCAAGUCUGAUGUGAAAGCCCGGGGCUCAACCCCGGUACUGCAUUGGAAACUGUCGUACUAGAGUGUCGGAGGGGUAAGCGGAAUUCCUAGUGUAGCGGUGAAAUGCGUAGAUAUUAGGAGGAACACCAGUGGCGAAGGCGGCUUACUGGACGAUAACUGACGCUGAGGCUCGAAAGCGUGGGGAGCAAACAGGAUUAGAUACCCUGGCAGUCCACGCCGUAAACGAUGAAUAUCUAGGUGUUGGGAAGC